GUGGGCCAAUAUCUCCUUCAAGUGAGCGGGAAGAAUAUCUCUCCCCUUCGGUGGGGAAAAAUAGAUCGGCGCAAGAUCGAGCUAUACUCUUCGACCAAUGGGCACUUCUGAGAAGGGCAAUUUAUCUUCAAGAUCAAACAUUAUUCAUGGAAAUGGGAGGACGCGGUGACUUUAACCACCGAAUCAACACACUUGACUUUGUUUGAUCAGAGAAUCCUUCUAGAGACAGAGAGGCGCUCCAUCGCCGAGUAUAUACUUAUGGAGCCCCUCAGGAAACCGAAGCAGAACAUAUGCAAGAAAGGACCUCCUUUCUCUCCCCCGGAAGCCUGUAUCGGAUGGUUCAAAUCUGAAGUAACAGCUCCAAUACUGACGCAGGAGAAGAGGCCCGUCUGCGGAUGUCCAACCGGGGAGCAUCGUGUUGGAGAUAUUUCAGUUGAGGUGAAGAUAAUUGGACGGAAGCACGGCAUCGAGAGCAUUCAAUCCUCUGUUGUCAGCUGCUUAGUUAUUCUGGAUCUCUCCAUUUGCUCUACGUCGUCCAUCCCAAAUGUUACCGAAAGUCCUUUACUCUUAACAUCUGAAGUUGUUAUACUUGAAAUGUUUUUAUUUUUGAACCAGCUGCCCGCGUUAUGGACAACUGUCUUAAA